rnacentral:snRNA from 1 species
AUGCUCUGGUUUCUCUUCAAAUCGUAUAAAUCUUUCGCCUUUUACUAAAGAUUUCCGUGGAGAGAAACGGUUGUGAGUUUUAAGCCAAUUUUUUAAAGCCUUACGUUGGUGGGGCU